AUACGGAGGACGCGAGCGUUAUCCGGAUUUAUUGGGUUUAAAGGGUGCGCAGGCGGGAGAUUAAGUCGGCGGUGAAAUUUUGCCGCGCAACUGUAAAAGUGCCUUCGAAAAUGGUUUUCUUGAGUGUAGAUGAAGUAGGGGGAAUUUGUGGUGUAGCGGGGGAAUGCAUAGAUAUCACGAAGAACUCCGAUCGCGAAGGCAGCCUUCCGGCCCGUCAACGACGCUCAUGCUCGAAGGUGCGGGUAUCAAACAGGAUUAGAUACCCUGGUAGUCCGCACAGUAAACGAUGGACACCCGCGGUUUGGCCUAUAUGGCUGAGCCGCCAAGCGAAAGCGUUAAGUGUCCCACCUGGGGAGUACGCCGGCAACGGUGAAACUCAAAGGAAUUGACGGGG
rnacentral:rRNA from 1 species